UGUCCACUUACUAACUUUGUGAGCAACAAGCAACAGCUGUUUCAGCGAGAGGUGCUGUGAGCCACACCUUGACUGAUGCCCAUGAUCUCUGUGGAGCAUCUCUGUGAAGUGUUUCCACCAUAUGUUCCCAGUGUGCCCUGGAAUCAGCUCUGAGUACAGGACAGCUUGCUGAGGUUCUUCAUCCUCUCCCCUUGGACAAAGAGGUAGACUGGGUGGGGCCUGCUAACCCAGUGUGUGGUUUGGUGGAGGAGAGCUGUGGGGCACAUGCUCAAAGGACUUCAGUGGCCCCAGGAUGCUAA
rnacentral:lncRNA from 1 species